rnacentral:rRNA from 1 species
CUGGCUCAGGAUGAACGCUAGCUACAGGCUUAACACAUGCAAGUCGAGGGGCAGCAUGAUCUAGCUUGCUAGAAUGAUGGCGACCGGCGCACGGGUGAGUAACGCGUAUCCAACCUUCCCUAUAGUAGAGGAUAGCCCGGCGAAAGUCGGAUUAAUACUCUAUGUUGUUCAAUGCGGACAUCUAAGUUGAACCAAAGGUUUACCGCUAUAGGAUGGGGAUGCGUCUGAUUAGAUGGUAGGCGGGGUAACGGCCCACCUAGUCGACGAUCAGUAGGGGUUCUGAGAGGAAGGUCCCCCACAUUGGAACUGAGACACGGUCCAAACUCCUACGGGAGGCAGCAGUGAGGAAUAUUGGUCAAUGGGCGAGAGCCUGAACCAGCCAAGUAGCGUGCAAGGAUGACGGCCCUAUGGGUUGUAAACUGCUUUUAUAUAGGGAUAAAGUGCACUACGUGUAGUGUUUUGUAGGUACUAUAUGAAUAAGGACCGGCUAAUUCCGUGCCAGCAGCGGC